rnacentral:snRNA from 1 species
GGCUGUGAGGGCAAUGUGGCUUCGACAUCUGUCGCUUCACUGAUCGCCAGGGUUGAUUUGGCUGAUCUGGCUGGCUAGGCGGAUGUCCCCUUCCUCCCUUACCACUCUAUGCGCGUCCCUCCGGAAGCUGUGCUCUUGGUCGAAGAGAACGGCCUUCCCCGAAUAGAGACAGACCGGUCUUUGGCCGAUGUUAUAUGAGUAGCUGUGCUCCCCUGAUAAAACCUCCAAACAAGCUCUCAAGAAGUUAUAUGAGAUAUUCAAUAAUUUAUUACAAAGUAACCUACCUUUGUGUUAAAUAAUUUUGUCCAACUGUUGUUUAAU